CACCGGUAGCUCUAGUGGUAGCAGUUUUUAUUGGGCCUAAAGCGUCCGUAGCCGGUUUAAUAAGUCUCUGGUGAAAUCCUGUAGCUUAACUGUGGGAAUUGCUGGAGAUACUAUUAGACUUGAGACCGGGAGAGGUCAGAGGUACUCCUGGGGUAGGGGUGAAAUCCUGUAAUCCUAGGAGGACCACCUGUGGCGAAGGCGUCUGACUAGAACGAAUCUGACGGUGAGGAACGAAAGCUAGGGGCGCGAACCGGAUUAGAUACCCGGGUAGUCCUAACUGUAAACGAUGCGGACUUGGUGUUGGGGUGGCUUUGAGCUGCUCCAGUGCCGAAGGGAAGCUGUUAAGUCCGCCGCCUGGGAAGUACGGUCGCAAGACUGAAACUUAA
rnacentral:rRNA from 1 species